rnacentral:rRNA from 1 species
UACGGAGGGUACGAGCGUUGUCCGGAAUCACUGGGCGUAAAGGGCGCGUAGGCGGCGCGGGGAGUCAACGGUGAAAGCUCGGCGCUCAACGCCGAGUCGGCCGUCGAUACUCCCGUGCUCGAGCACUGUAGAGGCAGGUGGAAUUCCGGGUGUAGCGGUGGAAUGCGUAGAGAUCCGGAAGAACACCGGUGGCGAAGGCGGCCUGCUGGGCAGUAGCUGACGCUGAGGCGCGACAGCGUGGGGAGCAAACAGG